GACGAACGCUGGCGGCGUGCUUAACACAUGCAAGUCGUACGGUAAGGCCCUUUCGGGGGUACACGAGUGGCGAACGGGUGAGUAACACGUGAGUAACCUGCCCACAACUUUGGGAUAACGCUCGGAAACUGGUGCUAAUACUGGAUAUGUGCUCCUGUUGCAUGGUGGGGGUUGGAAAGCUCCGGCGGUUGUGGAUGGACUCGCGGCCUAUCAGCUUGUUGGUGGGGUAGUGGCCUACCAAGGCGGCGACGGGUAGCCGGCCUGAGAGGGUGACCGGCCACAUUGGGACUGAGAGACGGCCCAGACUCCUACGGGAGGCAGCAGUGGGGAAUAUUGCACAAUGGGCGCAAGCCUGAUGCAGCAACGCCGCGUGCGGGAUGACGGCCUUCGGGUUGUAAACCGCUUUCAGCAGGGACGAAGCUUUUUGUGACGGUACCUGCAGAAGAAGCACCGGCUAACUACGUG
rnacentral:rRNA from 1 species